rnacentral:rRNA from 1 species
UACGUAGGGUGCAAGCGUUAAUCGGAAUUACUGGGCGUAAAGCGUGCGCAGGCGGUGAUGUAAGACAGUUGUGAAAUCCCCGGGCUCAACCUGGGAACUGCAUCUGUGACUGCAUUGCUGGAGUGCGGCAGAGGGGGAUGGAAUUCCGCGUGUAGCAGUGAAAUGCGUAGAUAUGCGGAGGAACACCGAUGGCGAAGGCAAUCCCCUGGGCCUGCACUGACGCUCAUGCACGAAAGCGUGGGGAGCAACAGG